rnacentral:misc_RNA from 1 species
GGCCCUACCAAAUGGAUACAAAAAAUAAAAAUUAAUCUACAGCAGAGGGUUUCUUUAUAGUAAAUACAGGUCCAGCAUUUAGCGGAAGGAGGCUCCAAUAAGAACCUCGGUAGUCUAUACAACAACUGUGCCACUUGAUUCUAUAAGAACCAACUGGAAAAUCAGAAACAUCAAGCAGGCAACUGGAAAAGCCUUGCCCUCUAUCAUUUAGCUCAAAACACACAAAUCUGUACACAGUCCCAUCGUCACUACUAGCAUCGUAAUCCCGACCACGUUUACAAUUGUCCGUCUUCUUGGCACGAUCAAUUACUUGGUGCCACAAUCUUUCAUUCAUUGCAAUCAUACUGGACAUUUCCCAAUCAUCGUAAUCCAACUGCAUUUGCCCUCUGGCUUCUCCACUUGAUUUAGGCUCCUGAAAAGAUGCACUAGAACAAAGAAUGCAAUAAAGCUUUGUCAUCCGAACUGCGAGAUUCAUUGGCACAUUCCUC